rnacentral:rRNA from 1 species
AACCGAGUCUUAACCGGGCGUUAAGUUGCAGGGUAUAGACCCGAAACCCGGUGAUCUAGCCAUGGGCAGGUUGAAGGUUGGGUAACACUAACUGGAGGACCGAACCGACUAAUGUUGAAAAAUUAGCGGAUGACCUGUGGCUGGGGGUGAAAGGCCAAUCAAACCGGGAGAUAGCUGGUUCUCCCCGAAAGCUAUUUAGGUAGCGCCUCGUGAAUUCAUCUCCGGGGGUAGAGCACUGUUUCGGCUAGGGGGCCAUCCCGGCUUACCAACCCGAUGCAAACUGCGAAUACCGGAGAAUGUUAUCACGGGAGACACACGGCGGGUGCUAACGUCCGUCGUGAAGAGGGAAACAACCCAGACCGCCAGCUAAGGUCCCAAAGUCAUGGUUAAGUGGGAAACGAUGUGGGAAGGCCCAGACAGCCAGGAUGUUGGCUUAGAAGCAGCCAUCAUUUAAAGAAAGCGUAAUAGCUCACUGGUCGAGUCGGCCUGCGCGGAAGAUGUAACGGGGCUAAACCAUGCACCGAAGCUGCGGCAGCGACACUGUGUGUUGUUGGGUAGGGGAGCGUUCUGUAAGCCUGUGAAGGUGUGUCGUGAGGCAUGCUGGAGGUAUCAGAAGUGCGAAUGCUGACAUAAGUAACGAUAAAGCGGGUGAAAAGCCCGCUCGCCGGAAGACCAAGGGUUCCUGUCCAACGUUAAUCGGGGCAGGGUGAGUCGACCCCUAAGGCGAGGCCGAAAGGCGUAGUCGAUGGGAAACGGGUUAAUAUUCCCGUACUUGGUGUUACUGCGAAGGGGGGACGGAGAAGGCUAUGUUGGCCGGGCGACGGUUGUCCCGGUUUAAGCGUGUAGGCUGGUUUUCCAGGCAAAUCCGGAAAAUCAAGGCUGAGGCGUGA